rnacentral:rRNA from 1 species
AUUGAACGCUGGCGGCAGGCUUAACACAUGCAAGUCGAGCGGGGUGAUGGUGCUUGCACUAUCACUUAGCGGCGGACGGGUGAGUAAUGCUUAGGAAUCUGCCUAUUAGUGGGGGACAACAUCUCGAAAGGGAUGCUAAUACCGCAUACGUCCUACGGGAGAAAGCAGGGGAUCACUUGUGACCUUGCGCUAAUAGACGAGCCUAAGUCGGAUUAGCUAGUUGGUGGGGUAAAGGCCUACCAAGGCGGCGAUCUGUAGCGGGUCUGAGAGGAUGAUCCGCCACACUGGGACUGAGACACGGCCCAGACUCCUACGGGAGGCAGCAGUGGGGAAUAUUGGACAAUGGGGGGACCCUGAUCCAGCCAUGCCGCGUGUGUGAAGAAGGCCUUAUGGUUGUAAAGCACUUUAAGCGAGGAGGAGGCUCUUUUGGUUAAUACCCAAGAUGAGUGGACGUUACUCGCAGAAUAAGCACCGGCUAACUCUGUGCCAGCAGCCGCCGCAG